UUGUGGUUAAAAAGCUCGUAGUUGGAUCUCGGCGGACUGAGGGCGGUUUGCUUGCUAGUAUUACUGCCCUAUAGUCCGUAGUUUUGCCAGAGGUUUCGGGGUGCUCUUAACCGAGUGUCCCGGGAUGCUGGCAGGUUUACUUUGGAAAAAUUAGAGUGCUCAAAGCAGGCUAUUACGCCUGAAUAUUCGUGCAUGGAAUAAUAGAAUAGGAAGUCGUUUCUAUUUUGUUGGUUUUCGGAAAUCGACUUAAUGAUUAAUAGGGACAGUCGGGGGCAUUUGUAUUCAAACGACAGAGGUGAAAUUCUUGGACCGUUUGAAGACAAACUACUGCGAAAGCAUUUGCCAAGAAUGUUUUCAUUAAUCAAGAACGAAAGUUAAAGGUUCGAAGGCGAUUAGAUACCGCCCUAGUUUUAACCAUAAACGAUGCCAGCUAGCGAUCUGCGGACGUUUUUUUUGUAGACUCCGCAGGAAGCUUCCGGGAAACCAAAGCAUUUGGGUUCCAGGGGAAGUAUGGUUGCAAAGCUGAAACUUAAAGGAAUUGGCGGAAGGGCACCACCAGGAGUGGAGCCUGUGGCUUAAUUUGACUCAACACGGGAAAUCUCACCAGGCCCGGACACUGGAAAGAUUGACAGAUUGAUAGCUCUUUCUCGAU
rnacentral:rRNA from 1 species